ACGCUCGACACCUACGGGAGGAGCAGUGGGGAAUAUUGCACAAUGGGGGAAACCCUGAUGCAGCGACGCCGCGUGGAGGAAGAAGGUCUUCGGAUUGUAAACUCCUGUUGUUGGGGAAAAAGAGGAUGGUACCCAACAAGGAAGUGACGGCUAACUACGUGCCAGUAGCCGCCGGUAAGUACUGAGGCGGGCCGUGGCGAAGGACG
rnacentral:rRNA from 1 species